rnacentral:rRNA from 1 species
AUACGGAGGAUGCGAGCGUUAUCCGGAUUUAUUGGGUUUAAAGGGUGCGUAGGCUGUGCGUUAAGUCAGGGGUGAAAUGCCGUCGCUCAACGACGGAGCUGCCCUUGAUACUGGCGUGCUGGAGUACGGAUGCCGUUGGAGGAAUGAGUGGUGUAGCGGUGAAAUGCUUAGAUAUCACUCAGAACACCGAUUGCGAAGGCAUCUGACGAAUCCGUCACUGACGCUGAGGCACGAAAGCGUGAGGAUAGAACAGGAUUAGAUACCCUGGUAUUCCACGCCGUAAACGAUGAUGACUAACCGUCGGCGAUAGACAGCCGGUGGCCAAGCGAAAGCGAUAAGUCAUCCACCUGGGGAGUACGUCGGCAACGAUGAAACUCAAAUGAAUUGACGGGG